rnacentral:sRNA from 1 species
UCAAUCUUUCAAGGUUGUCUGGUGGCUA